CAAUGGAUAGUUUAUUUAAAAAUUUUAAUUUUGGAGAUUAAAAAAGGGAUUGUUUCUCUCUGUUGA
rnacentral:tRNA from 1 species